rnacentral:lncRNA from 1 species
CUUGUCUGCAAAACAAAGUGCAUGUACAGACCUACGCAGAGCUUACUGUGCUGUUGUGGUGUGCCCCUGCUGCAGCCCUCGAGAAUUUUGGGAAACACAUGUAACUUGCUGCAGGAGCUGCCCUCAUUGUAAGGAUGAUGCAUUGAGAAAGUGUGCCUGGGGAGCUGAAAGCAUCACUUAGAUCACUGUGUCCCGCUUGGUGACCAGAAGAGUAACAUGGCCUGGCUGGCUGGAGUCUGAGCACGGGGAAAGCCCACGGACAGUGCCACAAAAGAAAUGGUUCUCCUGGGUCAGAAAACUGUGCUGUAACGACAGAGUAAGCUCCAGCAAAGCCACGGCACAGGUCAGGGCUGGGAAGUGUACACAAAGGGCUUUCCCUGUAGAACAGGUCAGGUCAUGCUGCUGAUUAAAUGCGUCCUGCAAAGGUGCCAUAACUCUCCAGCCUGAGUGUGUUACGUCUCCAGAGCAAGAGCAGGGUUUUGCAAGACUGGAUUAAGGAGGGUUGUCUGGGGGAUACAAUCAGGACAGUAGGAUCUCUGAUGUGCAUCCAGCCCCCAAACGGACAAAAGGACACCUCCUCUGGGUCUGCGGUCUGGGGAUCAGGACAGCAUCUGGGUAUGGUGCAGAGCAAUGGGUGCAUUUCCUGCCUUGUCUGGUACCUCUUCUGCUCCUUGACCCCUGUCAUGUCUGGGCCAGCGCAGAGCAUUCUCACAGACCAGGAAGUUGCUGCUUUUUUCUUCUCUGAACACAGGCUAUGGGUGAAACUUGCUGUUUCACUUGUAUUUGGCAAGGGGAUCCUGGCUUCAGCAGUGAGCACGGCUUUGUGCAGGAGAUCCUACAGCACAGGCUCCUGCUCUGCUCCAGACACAUGGUAACUGGUAAGCUUUGAUUUCUUAACUAUAGUGUCUCAGUGCAAAACUUCCAGAUCAUAUUUAAAGCGAUGCUGAUUAUUAAGAGCUGCACUCUUUCUUGACAUUGCUGCUACCUUGCUUUUUGCUGUCUUAGGUGAAAAGCAAGCUCUAAUAAUUUCCCUCUGUUCUUCAGAUUUUAAGCGGUAUUAUGUUAUCUGUGCUUUAGCUUAAAUGCUUAUAUUCCCUGUUGCUGGAGAUCUUCUUGCUUUCCCCUUCCUUCUGCCCCCUCAGCCCUAUUUAGACAAUCCCCAAAUGCAUGGCUUUUGAAAGUGCUGUUAAUACCUCUCACUCCACUGUUUAUGAUGCUGGGCAGUGGUGCAUUCAGAUUAUCACAGCACGGGUAAAAUAAUACCCACUUCUUCGCUUACAUCCUAUUACCGCACCUCAGAGAGCCCUCUCACUUAGAUUACUCAGGGGAAAUUCAAUGACAUACAGCCUUUUGAUUUGAAAUAUAAACUGUUGUGCAGAGAUUUAAAAGAUACCCUAAUUUAUUUGGAAACGACCAGGAGUGUGCUGGAACUCUUUUGAUUGCCAUGCUUUAUUAGACCGUGAUUUUUUCCAUCUAGCUUCUAUUCCCAAAACCUACAGAACGAUCGUGAUUUACUUUGGACAUCUGUUAAAUUCUGGGCUGCCUGGGGAACAAAGCAAGGGAGCUGCAUUCCUGGUGGGAAUAUGGGAGAAUAGUGGAACCGGCUGUGUUCUCCCAGCUUUGUGAUUCCUCUAGCUUGCAUGUUUUUUGCAUGUAAAUGUGUGCAUAUCUAGACAUGUAAUGGUAAACUGCUAUUAUUAAAUAUAUGAAGACCACCUCAAGCCUUUCCCUGAAGAGCAAAGCCUAUCAGGUUGUUGCUUUGCUUUUCCCACCCAGAACAAAUCAGGAGCACGGAUGGGAGCAGUGACAGGGUGCUGGGACCUGUUUGGUUCCCCACCCGCUGCUGCUGAGAUAUUUCUGUUUUCAGCUGUCACUACCAGUGUAUUCUCAGUUCUCCCCUCCACCCCCAGCUGCAACCAGCACUGAGAAGGCUGCCCAAUUCUCUCCUAGCAGUUGAAGCAAACCCUGCUGCAUUUCUGCUUCCUCCUGCAGGACAGAUUUACUCACUGUGGUUACCCUGUGGUUGCCACACGUUAGUUACAUUAAAGGCAACUGCGCCCUAAUCUAAUGAAACAGAAAUUCACCAGACGUAUAAAAACAUUCUGUUGUUCUCCUCUAUUCAUGAACACUUCCUGUGCUCCCCCUCACUAAUUUCGGGAAUAAGGUCAGCCUGUUGGAAGGGAGCUUUCAAAGUCUGUCAGGUUAAAAUAUAUCCACCCUGGUUGGAUUGCAGCGGCUGCAGUAACCAGGAGCACGAGGGUGAUAUUCCUGUUUGAAGAGCAACGAUAGGUAUUUGUCUGCAGUAAGAGUCAGUAUCUGGGGUUCCUAAUUGUUCGAAGGCGUUGCGGAAGGCACACUGAGUCAAUAAAGGCUUUACCUGAGUAAAGGUGACUGAAGUG